rnacentral:rRNA from 1 species
AGGGCGCACGGUGGAUGCCUUGGCACUAGAAGCCGAUGAAGGACGUUACUAACGACGAUAUGCUUUGGGGAGCUGUAAGUAAGCUUUGAUCCAGAGAUUUCCGAAUGGGGAAACCCAGCAUGAGUUAUGUCAUGUUAUCGAUAUGUGAAUACAUAGCAUAUCAGAAGGCACACCCGGAGAACUGAAACAUCUUAGUACCCGGAGGAAGAGAAAGAAAAUUCGAUUCCCUUAGUAGCGGCGAGCGAAACGGGAAGAGCCCAAACCAACAAGCUUGCUUGUUGGGGUUGUAGGACACUCUAUACGGAGUUACAAAGGACGACAUUAGACGAAUCAUCUGGAAAGAUGAAUCAAAGAAGGUAAUAAUCCUGUAGUCGAAAAUGUUGUCUCUCUUGAGUGGAUCCUGAGUACGACGGAGCACGUGAAAUUCCGUCGGAAUCUGGGAGGACCAUCUCCUAAGGCUAAAUACUCUCUAGUGACCGAUAGUGAACCAGUACCGUGAGGGAAAGGUGAAAAGCACCCCGGAAGGGGAGUGAAAUAGAACCUGAAACCGUGUGCUUACAAGUAGUCAGAGCCCGUUAAUGGGUGAUGGCGUGCCUUUUGUAGAAUGAACCGGCGAGUUACGAUUUGAUGCAAGGUUAAGCAGUAAAUGUGGAGCCGUAGCGAAAGCGAGUCUGAAUAGGGCGUUUAGUAUUUGGUCGUAGACCCGAAACCAGGUGAUCUACCCUUGGUCAGGUUGAAGUUCAGGUAACACUGAAUGGAGGACCGAACCGACUUACGUUGAAAAGUGAGCGGAUGAACUGAGGGUAGCGGAGAAAUUCCAAUCGAACCUGGAGAUAGCUGGUUCUCUCCGAAAUAGCUUUAGGGCUAGCCUCAAGUGAUGAUUAUUGGAGGUAGAGCACUGUUUGGACGAGGGGCCCCUCUCGGGUUACCGAAUUCAGACAAACUCCGAAUGCCAAUUAAUUUAACUUGGGAGUCAGAACAUGGGUGAUAAGGUCCGUGUUCGAAAGGGAAACAGCCCAGACCACCAGCUAAGGUCCCAAAAUAUAUGUUAAGUGGAAAAGGAUGUGGCGUUGCCCAGACAACUAGGAUGUUGGCUUAGAAGCAGCCAUCAUUUAAAGAGUGCGUAAUAGCUCACUAGUCGAGUGACACUGCGCCGAAAAUGUACCGGGGCUAAACAUAUUACCGAAGCUGUGGAUUGUCCUUUGGACAAUGGUAGGAGAGCGUUCUAAGGGCGUUGAAGCAUGAUCGUAAGGACAUGUGGAGCGCUUAGAAGUGAGAAUGCCGGUGUGAGUAGCGAAAGACGGGUGAGAAUCCCGUCCACCGAUUGACUAAGGUUUCCAGAGGAAGGCUCGUCCGCUCUGGGUUAGUCGGGUCCUAAGCUGAGGCCGACAGGCGUAGGCGAUGGAUAACAGGUUGAUAUUCCUGUACCACCUAUAAUCGUUUUAAUCGAUGGGGGGACGCAGUAGGAUAGGCGAAGCGUGCGAUUGGAUUGCACGUCUAAGCAGUAAGGCUGAGUAUUAGGCAAAUCCGGUACUCGUUAAGGCUGAGCUGUGAUGGGGAGAAGACAUUGUGUCUUCGAGUCGUUGAUUUCACACUGCCGAGAAAAGCCUCUAGAUAGAAAAUAGGUGCCCGUACCGCAAACCGACACAGGUAGUCAAGAUGAGAAUUCUAAGGUGAGCGAGCGAACUCUCGUUAAGGAACUCGGCAAAAUGACCCCGUAACUUCGGGAGAAGGGGUGCUCUUUAGGGUUAACGCCCAGAAGAGCCGCAGUGAAUAGGCCCAAGCGACUGUUUAUCAAAAACACAGGUCUCUGCUAAACCGUAAGGUGAUGUAUAGGGGCUGACGCCUGCCCGGUGCUGGAAGGUUAAGAGGAGUGGUUAGCUUCUGCGAAGCUACGAAUCGAAGCCCCAGUAAACGGCGGCCGUAACUAUAACGGUCCUAAGGUAGCGAAAUUCCUUGUCGGGUAAGUUCCGACCCGCACGAAAGGCGUAACGAUUUGGGCACUGUCUCAACGAGAGACUCGGUGAAAUCAUAGUACCUGUGAAGAUGCAGGUUACCCGCGACAGGACGGAAAGACCCCGUGGAGCUUUACUGUAGCCUGAUAUUGAAAUUCGGCACAGCUUGUACAGGAUAGGUAGGAGCCUUUGAAACGUGAGCGCUAGCUUACGUGGAGGCGCUGGUGGGAUACUACCCUAGCUGUGUUGGCUUUCUAACCCGCACCACUUAUCGUGGUGGGAGACAGUGUCAGGCGGGCAGUUUGACUGGGGCGGUCGCCUCCUAAAAGGUAACGGAGGCGCUCAAAGG